rnacentral:rRNA from 1 species
AUUGAACGCUGGCGGCAUGCCUUACACAUGCAAGUCGAACGGCAGCGGGGGAGUAGCUUGCUUUUCCUGCCGGCGAGUGGCGAACGGGUGAGUAAUACAUCGGAACGUGCCCUGUAGUGGGGGAUAAUUAGUCGAAAGAUUAGCUAAUACCGCAUACGACCUGAGGGUGAAAGUGGGGGACCGCAAGGCCUCAUGCUAUAGGAGCGGCCGAUGUCUGAUUAGCUAGUUGGUGGGGUAAAGGCCUACCAAGGCGACGAUCAGUAGCUGGUCUGAGAGGACGAUCAGCCACACUGGGACUGAGACACGGCCCAGACUCCUACGGGAGGCAGCAGUGGGGAAUUUAGGACAAUGGGCGAAAGCCUGAUCCAGCAAUGCCGCGAGUGUGAAGAAGGUCUUCGAGUUGUAAAGCACUUUUGUCCGGAAGGAAAUGGCUCUGGUUAAUACCUGGGGUCGAUGACGGUACCGGAAGAAUAAGGACCGGCUAACUACGUGCCAGCCGCCGCAGUAA